GGGUUGGGGUAGUUGCAGGCAUAGGACCAGGCCACAGGCUUGCGCGUAAGGGAACGCAGACGGUCUUGAAAACCGUCGUUGCAGCGAUGUGACCGUGGGUUCAAAUCCCACACCCA
rnacentral:tRNA from 1 species